rnacentral:rRNA from 1 species
CCUACGGGUGGCAGCAGUGAGGAAUAUUGGUCAAUGGGAGAGAUCCUGAACCAGCCAAGCCGCGUGAGGGAAGACGGCUCUAUGGUUUGUAAACCUCUUUUGUCGGAGAACAAAACCCGGGACGUGUCCCGGACUGCGUGUAUCCGAAGAAAAAGCAUCGGCUAACUCCGUGCCAGCAGCCGCGGUAAUACGGAGGAUGCGAGCGUUAUCCGGAUUUAUUGGGUUUAAAGGGUGCGUAGGCGGUCCGUUAAGUCGGCGGUAAAAUUGCGGGGCUCAACCCCGUCGAGCCGUUGAAACUGGCAGACUUGAGUUGGCGAGAGGUACGCGGAAUGCGUGGUGUAGCGGUGAAAUGCAUAGAUAUCACGCAGAACCCCGAUUGCGAAGGCAGCGUACCGGCCGGUCACUGACGCUGAGGCACGAAAGUGCGGGUAUCGAACAGGAUUAGAUACCCGAGUAGUC